rnacentral:rRNA from 1 species
GAUGAACGCUGGCGGCGUGCCUAAUACAUGCAAGUCGAGCGAACGGACCAGAAGCUUGCUUCUCUGAUGUUAGCGGCGGACGGGUGAGUAACACGUGGAUAACCUACCUAUAAGACUGGGAUAACUUCGGGAAACCGUAGCUAAUACCGGAUAAUAUUUUGAACCGCCUGGUUCAACAGUGAAAGACUGUCUUGCUGUCACUUAUAGAUGGAUCCGCGCUGCAUUAGCUAGUUGGUAAGGUAACGGCUUACCAAGGCAACGAUGCAUAGCCGACCUGAGAGGGGGAUCGGCCACACUGGAGCUGAGACACGGUCCAGACUCCUACGGGAGGCAGCAGUAGGGAAUCGUACGCAAUGGGCGAAAGCCUGACGGAGCAACGCAGCGUGAGUGAUGAAGGUCUUCGGAUCGUAAAACUCUGUUAUUAGGGAAGAACAUAUGUGAAAGGAACUGUGCACAUCUUGACGGUACCUAAACAGAAAGCCACGGCUAACUACGUG